rnacentral:rRNA from 1 species
GAUGAACGCUGGCGGCGUGCCUAAUACAUGCAAGUCGAACGCUUCACUUCGGUUAAGAUUGGCGGACGGGGGGGUAAUACGUAAGUAACCUGGCAUCUACAGGGGGAUAACUUAUGGAAACAUCUUCUAAAACCGCAUAUGUGUAGAGAUCGCAUGUACUCUAUAUGAAAAGUGCUACGGGACUUGUAGAUGAUGGACUUAUGGCGCAUUAGCUUGUUGGUAGGGUAACGGCCUACCAAGGCGACGAUGCGUAGCCGACCUGAGAGGGUGACCGGCCACACUGGGACUGAGACACGGCCCAGACUCCUACGGGAGGCAGCAGUAGGGAAUUUUCGGCAAUGGGGGAAAGCCUGACCGAGCAACGCCGCGUGAAGGAAGAAGUAAUUCGUUACGUAAACUUCUGUCAUAGAGGAAGAACGGUGGAUAUAGGGAAUGAUAUCCAAGUGACGGUACUCUAUAAGAAAGCAACGGCUAACUACGUG